UACGUAGGGGGCAAGCGUUGUCCGGAUUUAUUGGGCGUAAAGCGCGUGUAGGUGGCCAUGUAGGUCCGCUGUGAAAACUCGAGGCUCAACCUCGAGCUGUCGGUGGAAACCACAUGGCUAGAGUCCGGAAGAGGAGAGUGGAAUUCCUGGUGUAGCGGUGAAAAUGCGCAGAUAUCAGGAAGAACACCAAUGCGAAAGGCAGCUCUCUGGGGACGGUACUGACACUGAGA
rnacentral:rRNA from 1 species